UAACUCUUGUGUGUGUGUGAGAGUGUGUGUUGGUUUUUGUGGUUUACGAGGACUUUUGACCUGAAUACGCACCGGCAUUACGGGGACAUUUGGGUUUAUGAGGACACAGGCCAUGUCCUUGUAAUUCCGGCAAUGUAGAUGCCUUUCUCUAUGUCCCAGAAGCACCCUCUCCAAUUUUCGCGGCAUGUCCUUAUAUACCACAAAAACCUGAUUUUAUACCAUACACUGUGUAUCCUCUGUGUACGAGAGUGCGCCCCUGCAGCCGGGUCCUGGUACUGUACCGGCGUCAUCGAAAAUUUGCAUUUUUCACACAAGUGUAAGUAUUGAGGCCUGUGAUUGGUCAGAUCGGUACUGGUAGGCGGGAAAUCACGAAAACAAGAUGGCGCCGACGGGCGGAGCCUAAUUCCGCAGCCCCUAUUGGUUGCAUACGCAAUGAACAACAAGCGAGACAAGAUGGCGCCGGUGGGCGGAGCCUCAUUCAGCUUCAGCUUCAGCAUAGAAGCUGCACCUGAGAAGACAUCUGAGCACCUGAUGGAGGCUACUGUUAUUUUAAAGAAGAUGACAGAAGACACAUCAGAUCAUGCUGAAGUGAAACAGUGAUGGAGAAAGCCCAAUCUCUGGAGGAAGAUGAUUUCACCUGUGUCAGAUGGUAACUGAGAAGAAUCAGAUUCAGAAGAAUAAGAUACAGCAACAAUAAAGAUAAGCCGUGAGACCCAGCUGUCAUCAGUGACGAUUGUGCUGCUCUUACUGUGGGACUAGACCAGACUCUCAGUGAGGUUGGACCCUCUGCU